UACUCAGCUACAGAGUGAAUCCCAGACUAC
rnacentral:piRNA from 1 species